rnacentral:rRNA from 1 species
GCUGGCGGCGUGCUUAACACAUGCAAGUCGAGCGAUGAAGCUUCCUUCGGGGAGUGGAUUAGCGGCGGACGGGUGAGUAACACGUGGGUAACCUGCCUCAAAGUGGGGGAUAGCCUUCCGAAAGGAAGAUUAAUACCGCAUAAUAUAAGAGAAUCGCAUGAUUUUCUUAUCAAAGAUUUAUUGCUUUGAGAUGGACCCGCGGCGCAUUAGCUAGUUGGUAAGGUAACGGCUUACCAAGGCAACGAUGCGUAGCCGACCUGAGAGGGUGAUCGGCCACAUUGGAACUGAGACACGGUCCAGACUCCUACGGGAGGCAGCAGUGGGGAAUAUUGCGCAAUGGGGGAAACCCUGACGCAGCAACGCCGCGUGGGUGAUGAAGGUCUUCGGAUUGUAAAGCCCUGUUUUCUAGGACGAUAAUGACGGUACUAGAGGAGGAAGCCACGGCUAACUACGUGCCAGCAGCCGCGGUAAUACGUAGGUGGCGAGCGUUGUCCGGAUUUACUGGGCGUAAAGGGUGCGUAGGCGGAUGUUUAAGUGGGAUGUGAAAUCCCCGGGCUUAACCUGGGGGCUGCAUUCCAAACUGGAUAUCUAGAGUGCAGGAGAGGAAAGCGGAAUUCCUAGUGUAGCGGUGAAAUGCGUAGAGAUUAGGAAGAACACCAGUGGCGAAGGCGGCUUUCUGGACUGUAACUGACGCUGAGGCACGAAAGCGUGGGUAGCAAACAGGAUUAGAUACCCUGGUAGUCCACGCCGUAAACGAUGGAUACUAGGUGUAGGGGGUAUCAACUCCCCCUGUGCCGCAGUUAACACAAUAAGUAUCCCGCCUGGGGAGUACGGUCGCAAGAUUAAAACUCAAAGGAAUUGACGGGGGCCCGCACAAGCAGCGGAGCAUGUGGUUUAAUUCGAAGCAACGCGAAGAACCUUACCUGGACUUGACAUCCCUUGCAUAGCCUAGAGAUAGGUGAAGCCCUUCGGGGCAAGGAGACAGGUGGUGCAUGGUUGUCGUCAGCUCGUGUCGUGAGAUGUUAGGUUAAGUCCUGCAACGAGCGCAACCCUUGUUAUUAGUUGCUACCAUUAAGUUGAGCACUCUAAUGAGACUGCCUGGGUAACCAGGAGGAAGGUGGGGAUGACGUCAAAUCAUCAUGCCCCUUAUGUCCAGGGCUACACACGUGCUACAAUGGUAGGUACAAUAAGACGCAAGACCGUGAGGUGGAGCAAAACUUAUAAAACCUAUCUCAGUUCGGAUUGUAGGCUGCAACUCGCCUACAUGAAGCUGGAGUUGCUAGUAAUCGCGAAUCAGAAUGUCGCGGUGAAUACGUUCCCGGGCCUUGUACACACCGCCCGUCACACCAUGAGAGCUGGUAACACCCGAAGUCCGUGAGGUAACCGUAAGGAGCCAGCGGCCGAAGGUGGGAUUAGUGAUUGGGGUGAAGUCGUAACAAGGU